rnacentral:rRNA from 1 species
AGUGAACGCUGGCGGUAGGCCUAACACAUGCGAGUCGAACGGCAGCACAGUAAGAGCUUGCUCUUACGGGUGGCGAGUGGCGGACGGGUGAGGAAUACAUCGGAAUCUACUUUUUCUUGGGGGAUAACGUGGGGAAACUUCCGCUAAUACCGCAUACGACCUACGGGUGAAAGCAGUGGAUCUUCGGACCUUGCGCGAUUGAAUGAGCCGAUGUCGGAUUAGCUAGUUGGCGGGGUAAAGGCCCACCAAGGCGACGAUCCGUAGCUGGUCUGAGAGGAUGAUCAGCCACACUGGAACUGAGACACGGUCCAGACUCCUACGGGAGGCAGCAGUGGGGAAUAUUGGACAAUGGGCGAAAGCCUGAUCCAGCCAUACCGCGUGGGUGAAGAAGGCCUUCGGGUUGUAAAGCCCUUUUGUUGGGAAAGAAAAGCAGCAGGUUAAUACCCCGCUGUUCUGACGGUACCCAAAGAAUAAGCACCGGCUAACUUCAUG